UGGGGAAUUUUGGACAAUGGGCGAAAGCCUGAUCCAGCAAUGCCGCGUGUGUGAAGAAGGCCUUCGGGUUGUAAAGCACUUUUGUCCGGAAAGAAAUCCUUGGCUCUAAUACAGUCGGGGGGAUGAUGGUACCGGAAGAAUAAGCACCGGCUAACUACGUGCCAGCAGCCGCGGUAAUACGUAGGGUGCAAGCGUUAAUCGGAAUUACUGGGCGUAAAGCGUGCGCAGGCGGUUUGCUAAGACCGAUGUGAAAUCCCCGGGCUCAACCUGGGAACUGCAUUGGUGACUGGCAGGCUAGAGUAUGGCAGAGGGGGGUAGAAUUCCACGUGUAGCAGUGAAAUGCGUAGAGAUGUGGAGGAAUACCGAUGGCGAAGGCAGCCCCCUGGGGCCAAAUACUGACGCUCAUGCACGAAAGCGUGGGGAGCAAACAGGAUUAGAUACCCUGGUAGUCCAGCGCCCAUAAAACGAUGUCAACUAGUUGUUGGGGAUUCAUUUCCUUAGUAACGUAGCUAACGCGUGAAGUUGACCGCCUGGGGGAGUACGGUCGCAAAGAUUAAAACUUAAAUGAAUUGGCGGGGUCAUAGCUGUUUCCU
rnacentral:rRNA from 1 species